GCUUUUGGUGGGCGGUGCUAGAAGAGGAGACGACACGUGUAGCGCCGGCCCCCGUGACGUCAGCGCGGUUCAAACCAUGGCAUCUCCCCACCCCCCACACUGAGCGUCAAGUGGGCCGUUCCAAAGCCUCAAGGCCAGAAGGGAGGGGCUGCGUGUCGGUUGCCUUGGAAACGGCGGGUGCUUGUGUUGAACGUUGGACAGUGAGGUCGCGGUGUCGGGCUCGUCACGUGGUUAAAAAAAAAAAAAAAAAAAGCGCGUUUCCCUGACGGCGGGAAUGUGGCUGCUGCGUCUCUCCCUCUCUAUUCGACGCCAUAUGCAACAGCAUCGCCGAACGAUGAAUGUCAGAUAAAUGAGGGGAAACAUCAUUGGAGUAGCUCAGGUUCCACACAUUAUUACCAUUGAUACGUAUGUCCUUGUACAGAAUACGACUAGCUUAUGUGGCACAGGGAGUGCGGUGAUGUGAUGUCCAAUCAAUCCGGACUCAUCAUUUUCCUACAAGAAGCUUUGGAAGCUUAACAGAAUCACAGGUGAUAUUGGAGAAGACCCGUGGGGAUGCGCCGGUGCUGGUCUCGCUCACACACGCAUGCGCGUCUGUCCAUUUAACCUGACAGCGCUGGAGAGGGUACUGGAUGAAAACCAGUAAUAAUGCCUUGGGAAACUUUAUAUUUUUAUUUUUUUGUCAUUAUUAUUUUCUUGCCUUGGGUAAUAUUCAGUUGACGAGAACCUGUUAAUUAAAACUAUUUUGUUGCGUUGACUUCACAAGAUGUGGCUCAGGUAGUGUCUGACAAUGGUACCCACCUAUGAAGCAUUAUGUCACCUGUAUGGAGCACAGGGGAAAAAGGCCCAUAAUGCCUGAGCAUCUGCCUCCUACAUCUUGUGAAGAUGUAUGUUGUGUUGUUUGUUUGUUUGUUUGUUUGUUUGUUUGUUUGUUGGAUUGCUUCUGCUGUGCUGCAGUCGGAAAAUGAUCAGUAACAAAAGUGUCCGAAGUCCCAGUCUUCUGUUUCUCUGUCAGAAGAUUGCAUCCAAAGCUUUCACUAAUAUGUUAUGCUUAAAAAAUAACCGAAAAGCUGAACAAUUAUACAUUUUAGGAUGUGAGUAGACUUAACGUAGGUCAUCCUGUAAUUUGAAGUAUUUUACUAUACAUGAUGCUGACCACAAUUAUUUAGGCUUUUAAGUUACAAAACGAUUUCUUUUUCCCGUACAAUAAUCGUAUAUAAUGUAUAUCUGAUGCUAAAUGAUGUGCACCCAUAAUUUAUUGUAGGUGCCAGACAGCAGUUCAAGAUCUAGGCCCACAACAAUAAUGUAACUUAGCCGUGAGUCAAAUAAAGUGUUAACUUGGCUCAUUUGUAAUUUGUGGUGUUUGUAUAGGCCCUAAACACAAAGCACCCAUCUACAAUGUUUUAUGCUAAUUCCCAGCAUGCAGUCGAUAGUUACCCUGCACUCUAAGCCUAUAAUAGAUGCCUGUGCAAAAAAAUAAGAAUGAUUACUUCAACUGCUGUUCCUAACCUUUACACCCUACUAUACUAUCACUAUACAAAAAGACUUAGUUAAUUCAUGAUGUCUGACAUAGUCCUAUUACUGUUUUAUAUGAGGUCGAUUCGUUUGAGUUAAAUGGGGACAACUACAAUAAGAAUCUUUUUAUUUUUUUAGGAAACCUCUCAUACAUAGAAAUGACAGACAAUACAAUUAGAUUAUAUAUCUAUAGAUAAAGUCUGGUGCUGUGGUUAUGCCAUAUCUACCCUCUCUCCAUACAUUUCCAUUUGCAGGUGAUUAUAGUAUGAAAGCAUGUUACACAAAUUAAAAAAAACACUAUUUGUCAUAUGACUUUUAACAAAAAAUAUAUCUACAGAACAGAAAUAUGUAUUUCGAAUAUUUAUAAUUACCGUAGUAAAAAUAUAUGUUUGAGCUAAGUUUUUCUGAAGACGAAUAUAUUAAUAAAUUGAGUAGAAGCGUGACACAUAUCAUACUCGUUUGCUGAGUUAGUUAGGUUCAGAGGGAACAUACGCCCAAACCCGGUCAGGGAUAUAAAGAACAUUUAUUACAUAAAGCAGUGAUGAUCUGGUCAAGUAAUGUGCAAUGGGAUUCGUACACUAAACUAAAACUCCCAGUAACCAUGGCGACAAACGCUCUCCUCCAGCUCGCUGUUACAUAUUCCAUAUUCCAGUGGAUCUGCCUCUCACACUUUAGUUUACAACUAUUGUCUAGUGUAAUUCUACAUCCCUUCUAAUGCAUGUACAGUAUUGUUUCAUGAGUCCUGCCUUCCAAUAUUCCCUAUAUAACACUGCUAACAACUAGGAAAACGUAGCUCUGCUGGAGGCAAUUAUUCUAUAUGUAACAUAUGGAAUUGAUUUAUAAGUCAGCGCAGAGGAUAGUGAGCAUCGAUUAAUGUGAAUAAUUACCCCACCCCUAACAUGCACACGUCUACGGCUGCUUCUUGCAAAUCUCAUUUUAACUUCAAUCUGAAAAGUCUCACAGUACAGGGUAUUGGGGACGAGGUAUUAGUCCCCUGGCUGGUCUCAGCUGUUCCUGCUAGAGUAAGUGCAGUGAGUGGUUACCUCCUACGGACAGACAGGUGUAUAAGGAGGUGGCUAUAGAGAGAAUAGCUCCUGUGUUUAGUUAUUAUUUGCAAGUUUGUACCAUGUUGUUGUUUUACUGUCCAAAAUCCCAGUGUUUGCAGUGAUCUAGCUCUUAUAAUUUGCGUUGAUAUGCUAAUCGGAGGGUGUCAUACACAUCUGAUGAAUUAAUCCACAUAUACAUUAUAUAUAUGUGCACACAAGUGCAGUUAUAUGUUACUUGUGUUCCUGCUGGGAGAUGAUAGAAGGUGUCAUAAGGGGGUUCUGGGACACACAGUUGAGCACCCUCGCAGUCACCCGUAGGUGCAUCAGAGUUGGAACAGCCCUGUUGCUAUUGGCAACGUGUCAGCUGAGCAGCACCUCGCAGGGCGUACUGCACUGGGCAGAAGGAACCUGCUGGCAGCUGCCACGGAAAUAGGGGGUGGGGAAACUUUGUCAUGCAUGGAAACAACAUAAAGCAAAGCGCAGUGCAACAUCAGCUCUCUCUCACUGCGCUGCCUUGUAUUCGGCUGUCACAUCCCACCGCUGACAGCCUCCUUAUCCCGUGCCAGGCUGGCACUGCCAGUAGCAGGACGUUUGCAAAAGGGAAACUCUAUCUACCCGUGGGGCCCAUGUGAGCCACAAACGCCUGGGAGCUCUGCUCUCAAAGGCCACAGAGCUAUGAAUUGCAGCGGGGCGGAGGAAGGAGGGGGAAGGGACUGCCAGCUGAGCUGAGCUACGGGCAGGGAAAUAAGGAGUCACUGGCAGAGGGUACGGGAGGAGCAGCCCCUGAUGUGGCAGCGUUACUGUGCAGAAGGUUAUAGUGGAGGUGGACAUUGUUGGAGAAUACAGGGUACACGGUGUGACUAUCUGAGAAAGGGGGGAGGGCACUGAGAGAGGGAGUAUACUCAAAAGGGUGUAGAGGAUGAACUGAGGGCAAUGACUGGACACGGGAUAGCAAGCAUUGCUUAACCUAUUUUCUUUAACAUCAUAAACAUAUUAUUGUGGUCGGGUCACCAUAUACUAGUCGCUAUUAACCUUCCGUCGUGCCCUUGCACUCCAUGUACCGGCUAAAUAGUAUCACCCCCUUGCCUCUACGGUACCAUUACCUGGGCGAAAUCACCGAAAUAGAAUUUUCCACAUGGGUAUCUUUACACCAAUCUGCCAGUUUGUCCUACAGGACUGACGGGUACACUACUGACAAAUAAAUAUUCCAUACUGACUAAAAAGUGUCUGCAAUACACUACUUCAUGUUAACUUCAUAAACUUACUAAAGAGUAGAGAAAACCAUUGCACUUUAGGUAUUUAUAUUACUGGGGCAUAAUUAUCUGUUAGGACAUUUGUCUGAUAAAAUGAUUUUGCUGUAAUACUGCGAAUUUGGAAUAUUUAGAUUUUAACUAAGAUUUAUUUGACUGUAAUGUUUUACAAGGGAAAAAUGUAUUUAUUUGAAACAAGCAGCAACCAAAUAAUCCAGGGUUGGAUUGAUGUGCUAUAUUUUAUAUAAAUUAAACUAACACUUUUUAUAAUCUCAUUGGUAUCACUAUCACCCAUAUAUUUACAAACAAAAACCAUGAACCAUGAGUCUGUAGACCUUCAUAUCAAAUAUAUGGACUUCAUGCUGAAUAAUCCUAGAUUUGCCGAAACGUCGGUAGGUAGCCUUGACAUGCAUUUAAGACAUCAGUAAAAGCAAAGUAGAAAGUAUUGCUAGAUCAGUGUGCCUUUUCUGACAGGACACUUUUCAUCUCGCUGCUUACUUAAGCCUUAAAAAAAAAGAACAAUUAUAAAACUCGGUACAAAAAAUAAUAAUCAUUCAAAAUAUUAUUUUGUUUAUGCAUGUGUGUUUUAAUUUUUAGAAUAAAAUGUUAUGGAUGCAUAAAAU